UACGUAGGGUGCGAGCGUUAAUCGGAUUUACUGGGCGUAAAGCGCGCGUAGGUGGCUAAUUAAGUCAAAUGUGAAAUCCCCGAGCUUAACUUGGGAAUUGCAUUCGAUACUGGUUAGCUAGAGUAUGGGAGAGGAUGGUAGAAUUCCAGGUGUAGCGGUGAAAUGCGUAGAUAUGCGGAGGAAUACCGAUGGCGAAGGCAGCCCCCUGGGAUAAUACUGACGCUGAGGUGCGAAAGCAUGGGGAGCAAACAGG
rnacentral:rRNA from 1 species